CCAUUACACAAAUCGCAAAACGUCGUCUGCUCCUUCAAUACUCGAUUAAAAAACCAUCGUUCAUAAUUGCAUCGAGAUCUGCAGGAAAGACACAAGACGGAUCCACAUAAACAACCAAAUCACGUGAAUGAAAUAAACUAGUUAAAGGAAUGGCAAUUAGUUUAAAGCAAGAUUAGAUAUUCGAUAGACAAAAUCUCUGCAAUACGGGCAAAAAUUAAAGAACGGAACAUAGUGUAGAACCAACCCAUGACGAUUUUCUUCAUAUCUACCAAGAUAACACAAAUCCAACAAAAAAUCGAAGCUCUUAGUAACUAAAAAGUAAAUCACAAUUACAAUUUCAGAAUUAUCUGCUUAUUUUAAUUACCUCCAAACACAACCCUUUUCAACUUCAGAAGCACAUAUAGCUAAAUUGAGAAAAUAAAUUCAUGCUUCAGAUCAGCAUCAAAUUGAACUUUUUUUUUUUAAAAAGACAGCUGGAAAACAGUAAAGGGUCAAUGAAAAAGCACAGAUCUUGAACAAUGGCUACCUCUUCUCAGCAAAAAAAAAAACCUAGCAAGAGGGCUCCAUUAAAACCCCACAAUGCUGAAAGAAAACACAACCCACAAACCAAGAAAAAGCAGCAGCCCACACUCAAAAAAGAAAGAGAGAGAAAGUCACAAAGAUCACAACUUUAGGGUUUACAAUUUUUAAUCGAUUUAACAAUGGAGGGGGAACUAAAUUAAACUUUUUUUUAAAAUAAUAAUUAAAGAAAGGCAGCGAAGUGUAGAGAGAGAGAGAGAGAGAAUUAAAGAAGAGAGUGACACCUCCAGUCCACCACCUCACCUUGCUCCAAAAGUGUGUGGUGUCCUAAUGUUUAUGAUAGCGAGAAAAAGAAAAAGGAAAGAAAAGGGUUUGAGAGAAUAUUGAAAGAGAGAGCUGGGUAGGUGUGUAUGUGUGUGUGUUUGUGUGUGUGAGAGAAAGAGAGAGAGAGAGAGAGAGAGAGAGAGAGAGUGGUGGAGGGGUCAAAAGAAGGGUAAAGUAAAGCUUUUACAUGUGCAAUAAUUU
rnacentral:lncRNA from 1 species